UACGGAGGGGGCAAGCGUUGUUCGGAAUUACUGGGCGUAAAGGGCGCGCAGGCGGCUGCUCAAGUCAGGCGUGAAAGGCCUGGGCUCAACCCGGGAAUUGCGCUUGAGACUGGGCUGGCUUGAGUGCGGGAGAGGAUGGUGGAAUUCCCAGUGUAGAGGUGAAAUUCGUAGAUAUUGGGAAGAACACCGGUGGCGAAGGCGGCGACCUGGGUAGAUACUGACGCUGAGGCGCGAAAGCGUGGGGAGCAAACAGG
rnacentral:rRNA from 1 species